rnacentral:tRNA from 1 species
ACCUGGCUGGCUCAGUUGGUGGAGUAUGUGACUCUUGAUCUCAGGGUCAUGGGUUUAAGCCCCAUGUUGGGCU